rnacentral:lncRNA from 1 species
UUAAUGACAAAAUUUUAUAUGGACCCCCAAAGGUCAUAUAGACCCUGACUAAGAACCACUAUUCUAGAUCCUUCUGAUCACUGGGAUAUGAAUUAGAUUACGGUACAGUUGGAGCUGUCUCGGGUAUAUUCAAUUCAUGUUUUUCUUUGGGAGCCUUUGUAGGACCGUUCGUUGGCGGUGCAUUAAAUGAAAAGCUGGGAUUUGAGUGGGCUUCUGUUGUUGGAUCUGGUUUUAUGUGUUUUGCU